rnacentral:rRNA from 1 species
ACUUAGGAAUUGCAUUCGAUACUGGUCAGCUAGAGUAUGGGAGAGGAUGGUAGAAUUCCAGGUGUAGCGGUGAAAUGCGUAGAGAUCUGGAGGAAUACCGAUGGCGAAGGCAGCCAUCUGGCCUAAUACUGACGCUGAGGUACGAAAGCAUGGGGAGCAAACAGGAUUAGAUACCCUGGUAGUCCAUGCCGUAAACGAUGUCUACUAGCCGUUGGGGCCUUUGAGGCUUUAGUGGCGCAGCUAACGCGAUAAGUAGACCGCCUGGGGAGUACGGUCGCAAGACUAAAACUCAAAUGAAUUGACGGGGGCCCGCACAAGCGGUGGAGCAUGUGGUUUAAUUCGAUGCAACGCGAAGAACCUUACCUGGUCUUGACAUAGUAAGAACUUUCCAGAGAUGGAUUGGUGCCUUCGGGAA